UACAGAGGUCCCGAGCGUUGUUCGGAUUCACUGGGCGUAAAGGGUGUGUAGGAGGUCGUAUAAGUCGGAUGUGAAAUCUCUCUGCCUAACAGAGAAACUGCACUCGAUACUGUUCGGCUAGAGGAUCGGAGAGGAGAGCGGAAUUCUUGGUGUAGCGGUGAAAUGCGUAGAUAUCAAGAGGAACACCAGCGGCGAAAGCGGCUCUCUGGACGAUUCCUGACUCUGAAACACGAAAGCCAGGGGAGCAAACGGG
rnacentral:rRNA from 1 species